AGAACUUAGCAGAGAUGCUUUGGUGCCUUCGGGAACUCUGAGACAGGUGCUGCAUGGCUGUCGUCAGCUCGUGUUGUGAAAUGUUGGGUUAAGUCCCGCAACGAGCGCAACCCUUAUCCUUUGUUGCCAGCGGCUCGGCCGGGAACUCAAAGGAGACUGCCGGUGAUAAACCGGAGGAAGGUGGGGAUGACGUCAAGUCAUCAUGGCCCUUACGGCCAGAGCUACACACGUGCUACAAUGGCGCAUACAAAGAGAAGCGACCUCGCGAGAGCAAGCGGACCUCACAAAGUGCGUCGUAGUCCGGAUUGGAGUCUGCAACUCGACUCCAUGAAGUCGGAAUCGCUAGUAAUCGUAGAUCAGAAUGCUACGGUGAAUACGUUCCCGGGCCUUGUACACACCGCCCGUCACACCAUGGGAGUGGGUUGCAAAAGAAGUAGGUAGCUUAACCUUCGGGAGGGCGCUUACCACUUUGUGAUUCAUGACUGGGGUGAAGUCGUAACAAGGUAAGCGUAGCGAG
rnacentral:rRNA from 1 species